UACGAAGGGGGCAAGCGUUGUUCGGAUUUACUGGGCGUAAAGGGCGCGUAGGCGGAUGCGUAAGUCAGAGGUGAAAGCCCUGGGCUCAACCCGGGAAUUGCCUUUGAGACUGCGUGUCUUGAGUAUGGGAGAGGGUGGCGGAAUACCCAGUGUAGAGGUGAAAUUCGUAGAUAUUGGGUAGAACACCAGUGGCGAAGGCGGCCACCUGGCCCAUAACUGACGCUGAGGCGCGAAAGCGUGGGGAGCAAAC
rnacentral:rRNA from 1 species